rnacentral:rRNA from 1 species
GAUGAACGCUAGCGAUAGGCUUAACACAUGCAAGUCGAGGGGCAGCACAAGGUAGCUUGCUAUCUGGGUGGCGACCGGCGCACGGGUGCGUAACGCGUAUGCAACUUGCCCUAUACAGGAGGAUAACCCGUCGAGAGACGGACUAAUACUGCGUAUGCUCACAACUUGGCAUCAAGUGGUGAGGAAAGAAAUUCGGUAUAGGAUAGGCAUGCGUCCCAUUAGCUUGUUGGUGAGGUAACGGCUCACCAAGGCAACGAUGGGUAGGGGAACUGAGAGGUUUAUCCCCCACACUGGUACUGAGACACGGACCAGACUCCUACGGGAGGCAGCAGUGAGGAAUAUUGGUCAAUGGGCGCGAGCCUGAACCAGCCAAGUCGCGUGAAGGAGGACUGUCUUAUGGAUUGUAAACUUCUUUUAUACGGGAAUAACAAGAGUCACGUGUGACUCCCUGCAUGUACCGUAUGAAUAAGCAUCGGCUAACUCCGUG